GGGGGCGAAAUGGCUUCGACGGAGAUUUUGAGGCCUGUGGUAGCAUACCGAGUCUUUUGUCAGCUCGUAAACUUGGCAGAACAUAAAGAUAAUCGCAGACGAUUAUAACUACGCUGUAGCUGCUUAAGGCGGCUUCCGUCCUGCUGGAAUCCUUCCUGUAGAUUCCAGACCAGGGCGUCGACUAUACAGGAUCGCUUUUUAAGGGCGUCUGAACCUUGAAGGCUAAACUUUUCAGACUAUACUGUUCAGUAUCCAUCUCAAAGGAGACAGAACAAUGAACAUUAAAUUUUGAGAUAAGUAUGUAGAAGCCUGGGUUGAUCGUUUUCGGACGCGGGUUCAACUCCCGCCGCCUCCACCA
rnacentral:tmRNA from 1 species